rnacentral:tRNA from 2 species
GGGGUGAUCUGAUAAUGGUAAUCAGCAGUGUUUGCACCACUGAUAUGAUAGUUCGAUUCUAUCUCACUCCA